GGGAGGGCGUUUAGGCAUCGACCCCGUAGGAAGCCAGGUAGACGGGGGUUUGCUGCAGAGACUCCGAGGACUUGUGUGGGGCUAACGUGUGUACGUCCGAGCUGGAAGAGCAGCCUCUCGGGACGGAAGAGUCAGACUGAGGAUGAGGUCACCAACACCGCGCUGAGAUCUGGAGCACCGGAGCAGGGUCCCAGACCCGUUCUCCUGACUCGGGCUCGGCAGGAUGAGCUGCGGGAGUUUUCGCCUUCAGAAUCCCCGGAGUACAGACCUAGCCAAGGCAGAAGAUGGAAGUGGAGACCAGGUACCAAGAGUCCACUCUCCUCAGGCCGGCUGGAUUUGAUGGGACAAUCCAGGACCUUGGGAGCAAACAGCCCACGAAAGGACAGUCACCCCAAUGGUUACCUUUGUAUGUGUAAAGGUAGGUAUGUUUUCGCAAAGCAUUUGCAACUUGAUUUGUGAUGACCUUGGCUUCCCUGAAAUUUUUUCAUGGGUUUUUCCUUUUCGGUUUUUUUGUUUGUUUUUGUUUUUGUAUUAAAGGUUUCCUUGUGUCAAAUAUGUGUUAUCAUGGUGAACACAGUCUCAAGCAUACCCUACAGCUAUGAAAGCUAGAGCUGUUUAUAAAGUACGAGAACCUGCCUCAUGUUGUGUUAACUAAAGUUAAUUACUUAAUUAUGAAUAAUGAUUUAAUUGUGUUACAAGUGAGUUAUGGCAUUUUAGUAUAAAUGAGCUAAUUCAGGGACCAAGGAAUGCAUGAAACAUUUUCCACUAGACUUAAUGAUAUUUAGAAUUUAUUAUCCAGGACCAUAAAAUCAUACAAAUACACACAAACACACGUAUACUUAGAUCUUUAUUUUAAAAAUGUGUACACACACAAACGCUCUCUCCCCUUUUCCUCU